UCAGAUUUGACAAAUGAGAGUCUUUCUGAAUUCGCAUCUUAUGCAAGGUACGGAAUCAUCGCAUUGGCUUCGAUAAUAUUGCUCAUUGAGGUACUAGAAAUGAAACAAAUGUUCUCCUGGAAAGUAUGGUUUUACUUUUUUGAAAUUGAAAAUGUUUUUGAAUGGAUAACGUGCAUCACUGCGAUUAUAUUUGUUGUCAAUACAAGUGACUGUAGCGAUUCACAAUAUAGACCGCAAUGGCAAUGGACUUGCGGAACGGUAUCCGUUUUCCUCGCUUGGAUCAAUAUGUUAUUUAUCAUUCAGAAAUUCGAAUGGUUAGGUAUAUAUGUAGUUAUGUUGUACCGGAUCAUCAAGGUGUUUAUGAAGUUUCUCCUUGUGUUUUCACUCCUGAUAAUUGCAUUUGCCAUCUCGUUCCACUGCUUGUUUCAAA